CUUUCUUUGCUGGCGACCGGCGCACGGGUGAGUAACACGUAUCCAACCUGCCCUUUACUCGGGGAUAGCCUUUCGAAGGAAAGAUUAAUACCCGAUAGUAUAAUGAUUCCGCAUGGUUUCAUUAUUAAAGGAUUCCGGUAAAGGAUGGGGAUGCGUUCCAUUAGGUUGUUGAUGAGGUAACGGCUCACCAAGCCUUCGAUGGAUAGGGGUUCUGAGAGGAAGGUCCCCCACAUUGGAACUGAGACACGGUCCAA
rnacentral:rRNA from 1 species